rnacentral:lncRNA from 1 species
CGUCAACGUCCAACUUUAAUAUAUAAAGGAAAUUUGCCCAAAAACAGUGCCAAAUUAAUCAAGACUAAAUUUUUACAUUACAGUUUAAGAGACCCUAAAACGUUUCCGAAAACUGCAAAGCACCACAGGAUUAUGCCAGCAUCCAACUAAUUAAUCGACGGUUCAGCUUCUCUAUGUUUAGUUGAUGAAGUAGCCAACCAAGAUGCCCAGAAGACCGAACAGCACCACAAACAACAACGAAAAUCCGCCACCGCCGUUUUUGCUAAUUUCUUUUCUCAACACAUCCUGCUCAAAUUCAAAAUUUUCUCUUAUUGCCAAAAGGAAAUAAACGAAAACAAACAUGAAAAUGAACUCCGAUAAAGGGGAACUGAAGCAUCAAACACCCAACAAUACAAAUAGAAACAACAGUUCAUAAAAAGGAGAUUGACAGCUGAUGAAGUUAAACGGGGAUACAUACUAGUAGAACCGUUAGCAUAGGGACAAUCAAAAGCAUGAGGCUUGGAUAUACGUAAGAAACUAAGAAUUAAACAAAAGCUGAGCUGAUCUUCCUCCGUCAAUCAAGUCAGUGGAAUGCUCACAAAAUCCUUCACUCAAUCGAGUCAGUGACAACCUCCC